rnacentral:rRNA from 1 species
UUGAUCCUGCCGGACCUGACUGCUAUCGGAUUGAUACUAAGCCAUGCGAGUCUUUGUAGCAAUACAAGGCAUACGGCUCAGUAACGCGUAGUCAACCUAACCUAUGGACGGGAAUAACCUCGGGAAACUGAGAAUAAUGCCCGAUAGAACACUAUAUCUGGAAUGGUUUGUGUUCCAAAUGAUUUAUCGCCGUAGGAUGGGACUGCGGCCUAUCAGUUUGUUGGUGAGGUAAUGGCCCACCAAGACUAUUACAGGUACGGGCUCUGAGAGGAGUAGCCCGGAGAUGGGUACUGAGACACGGACCCAGGCCCUAUGGGGCGCAGCAGGCGAGAAAACUUUGCAAUGUGCGAAAGCACGACAAGGUUAAUCCGAGUGGUUUCUGCUAAAGGAAUCUUUUGUUAGUCAUAGAACCACUAACGAAUAAGGGGUGGGCAAGUUCUGGUGUCAGCCGCCGCGGUAAAACCAGCACCUCAAGUGGUCAGGAUGAUUAUUGGGCCUAAAGCAUCCGUAGCCGGCUCUGUAAGUUUUCGGUUAAAUCUGUACGCUCAACGUACAGGCUGCCGGGAAUACUGCAGAGCUAGGGAGUGGGAGAGGUAGACGGUACUCGGUAGGAAGUGGUAAAAUGCUUUGAUCUAUCGAGGACCACCAGUUGCGAAGGCGCCACACUAGAACGGAUCCGACGGUCAGGGACGAAGCCUAGGGGCACGAACCGGAUUAGAUACCCGGGUAGUCCUAGGUGUAAACGCUGUGGACUUGGUGUCGGGGAUCCUCUAAGGGUUCUCGGUGCCGCAGCGAAGGUGUUAAGUCCACUGCCUGGGGAGUACGGUCGCAAGGCUGAAACUUAAAGGAAUUGGCGGGGGAGCACUGCAACGGGAGGAGCGUGCGGUUUAAUUGGAUUCAACGCCGGAAAACUCACCAGGGCCGACUGUCAAAUGAAGACCAGCGUAAUGAGCUUGUCGGAUUGUCAGAGAGGUGGUGCAUGGCCGCCGUCAGUUCGUACCGUAAGGCGUUCUGUUAAGUCAGAUAACGAACGAGACCCUCAUCCUCAUUUGCUACUCAGUUCUCGCGAAUUGAGGCACUAUGAGGAGACCGCUGGCGCGAAGUCAGAGGAAGGCGAGGGCAACGGUAGGUCAGUAUGCCCCGAAUGUCCUGGGCUACACGCGCGCUACAAAGGAUGGGACAAUGGGAAGCCACGCCGAGAGGCGGAGCUAUCCCGAAACCCAUUCAUAGUUCGGAUUGAGGGCUGUAAGUCGCCCUCAUGAAGCUGGAUUCCGUAGUAAUCGUGUCUCAAAAUGGCACGGUGAAUAUGCCCCUGCUCCUUGCACACACCGC